rnacentral:tRNA from 1 species
AGGUUAGUAGUUUAUUUAAAACAGUUUAUUGCAAGUAAACAGAUGGUCUAUCCCUAACCUU